rnacentral:lncRNA from 1 species
UUUAUAUAAAACAUAUGAUCAUGGCCUUGAAUUCACCUCUAGCUAAAAAGAAACUUAGUUACACAUGUUCAUCAUAACUGAAAAACAAUCUAAAAUAAACAUUGAAACUUAAAACAAAGAUAGAAAGAACUCUAAAAAUUCUAGCAACUUCAAUGGAUGAAUGGUAGGCGCAGCACCCCCUAAAUCGUUGUAGGAAUUUCAUAUAUAGGGGGGAAUGGCUGAAUCCAAGGAGGAAAGGGUUUUGGCAUUUUGAAUUAUUUUAGGACUCUAAGAAUCAGGUAAAGAGUGUUGGAAUGUGACUAGAAUUCCUCCUUGCAACUGGAGAUAAGAUAAGAUAAGAUAGAAUAAGAUAAGAUAAGAUGAGAUAAACAUAAUGAUGGAUAAGAUAAGAUAAUGUUCCUCUCCAACUAGGAUUCCUCUUUCUUGUGUAAUUCUUUGUCUUCCAAGCCUCAACUUUAAUUUCUCCAAUUUUUAGCACAUAUCUAGCACCAUUUAAACACCAAAAACGUUCAGCCCAUAUGCUAUCCAAUCCAAGUCCAAAACUACCCCAAAUUGCUCCAUUUGGCUAUUUAUUGUCAUCUUUACCAACUGGACCUACAAUAAUAUGAAAAUAACUUAAAUUACCAAAAUAAAUAGAAAUUAUCUAAGUAAAUGCAAAGAAAUAAGAUAACAAAGUCACAUAAAUAUGCUCCUAUCAAAUUCCCCUACACUUAACUUUUGCUAGUCCCCAAGCAAAACAAAGAAAACAAAACAAAACCUAAACCUUCCAACAAUUGUCUUAGGGAUUUCCAAUGAAACAUGACAUGUUAAAAAUCAUUACUUACAUAGAUUUUAGCCAUCCUUACUCUUGAGCUUAUACUUAACCGCAGUAACCACUCACUAGCUCGCAUUUAAUCAAUUAAAACAACAUUUAAAAGUAGUAAUUAGAGAAUUCACUCAAUUCCUCACUGGAUAUACUCUCUAUUUUCGCACAGAUUUUUUGACUACACUCCCUUUACUAAGUAUAUGUGAGAAGAUUGAUGUAAAUAUGUAGACUAGCACUCACAUAUGUUAAACCUACAAUACAUAAGCAAGGGAUAAGGCUUUUUGGCUUUGGUGGUAACUAAACAACUUCAUCUUGUUAUUUGUUAUGCAAUCAAUUUUAUGCUUUGAAUGAAACAGGCAUGAGUUAUAGUAUUUAGAACUAAAAUGAUGAAAAAGCAUUCUACGUAGCAACCAAGCAAAGAAAUAAUGAGAUCAUGCAACAACUUUAGAAAACAAGAAUAUCACAAAUUAAUAACUCUCCAAACAAAGAAUAGGCUCAAGUCUCACAGGGUUGUAGCGUUAGUUUGAGUUUCUUCCUUCAAACAUGUUACAAAAACUGAUUUUUUUUUCUUUGUGAUUACAUGUGAAUUCGUAAAUAACAACUACAACUAAGUAUUAACCAAAGAGCAUAUCAAACUUCUACCCAUGUUUGUAACUUUCUUUAACAGUCAUACAAUUAAAAACCAAAUCCUCAUCAUUGUGUUGGAAGGUACCCUAAAACACACACAAGCAACAAAAAUGACUCUUUUUGGUAUUUUCUCAAGCAUUUUCGAUUUUUUUUCUUCAAAAUUUUGUUAUAUGACACACAAUAAAACACUUUAAAAUAGUGAAUAACAAUAUUAAUAGUGAUAGAUGGUGAAAUUCGAAGAGAAAUCAUGAAAAACAAUCUGUUUACCCCCCACACUUAAACCAAACAUUGUCCUCAAUGUUUCAAAAAUAAACUUAAACAAGAAAGCAACAAAAGAUAACUAGCAAACAAAACAAUCAUGGCAAAGUAAAAAAAAUAAAGAGAAGGGUAAAAGAGAGCAAAUCUGGUUGUAGGAGCUGGAAAGUCCAUGGUCUUUUUAUUUGAACACAUGGGUUGCCUCCCAAGAAGCGCUUGCUUUAAUGUCUUCCAGCCGGACGAUACCUCCAUUUAAUCCUCACUAAGACCAAUGGCAUGGAGUUGAUCAUUGAAUGGAAGGUGAUACUUAAAAUGAUUCGAUUAUGGUUUAAAUUUUGUAGUGGGUGCCUGAAUCAUUGAAAUCAACAUCAUGUUAGUAGAAAACGAAAUUGAAAUUUGAGGAGGUGGCUUACAUGUGUGCUGUGACAAGAACUCAUGGAUAAACACUACUUCGAAAGUUUCAGGAAUGUUGCUUUUAGCCAAAUUUGGUGUGAAGGCAGUGACUUGUCCUGUGUUAUAAAAUCUAACUUCUUCGAGGAUGGUUGUCUCAAGUACAUCAUUUUCGAAAGUAAAAAUUGCCUCCAGCAAAUCCCUCAUGAGGGCAUUAUGUGUUGUCGCCUCAUCACAUCCUAUGCAUCUGGCUUACUCAUUGUUGAAUUUGGAUAUAUAACCGCUCAGGGAUUCAUCUAGACCCUGUUUCACAGAGGUAAGGUCGGUCCGUGUGUACUACCUCUUAAGAUGAUCAUAUAGGUGUCCAGGAAAACUUGUCUCAAUCUUAAGAUAUUUGUAUGGACCGUAGGGCUAUUUGCUUAACCCAACCUUUGCAGCAGCUCCUUUGAGGAUAGUAAAAAAUAGCUUGCAUUUGGUAGUGUUGUUUUCUCGACCCUUGGUAGCAUAUAUGAACCCAUUGAGAUGGUCAUACAGAUCAAGAAGCCCCUCAUAGCUUCGCAUCUUAAGCACUCGAGUGUCCUUGCUCGUCAGCUUGUCAAUAGCUCAUUGGAGAAUGAAAGUGACUCUUUAUCCUCAGAAUAAUCAAGGUUUUUUGGUUUGGACAAUCGCUUAAUGUCUCCAAGCCGAUCCCACAUGCUUUUAAUUCCUUACCUAUAACUUCUCUCAGGAUGUUUCUCAGGUCGAGGAGGUUAACCAGAGUUCCCGUCCAACUUCCCAGCUCUUGCUCAAUGACUUUCGCCCAUUCGUCCCGAGCGUCAUCCUCUUCUCUGAGCUUCUUGUUAAUGACUUCACAUACAUCUUUGUUCCCGACAUCCUAGGGAAAAUACGAGCUCUUCCCUUGGAUGUUGUCGAUUUUCUCGUUAGUUUUGUUGAUUUGUUCUAUGAGGUCGUCAUGCUUCUUCUGAAGUAGGGUGUUUUACGCAUAGAAGAGGUUCCCCACCUCAUUCAUCUCUCCGACACCAGUAAGUAAUUCAUCUUUUCCUCAUAGGUGGUGAGUCUAGUCAUCUCUUCUCGUCUUCUUCUUCGGAGUGUCGGCUCGAGACUGCUGGCCAUCUUGCUUGGUGGUCUACAAACUAUGGAGCAAAGGUAGCUAGGCAAAAAACACAACCAAAUUGUAUGUGUUUCCCAAAGACGAUGCCAAAGCUUCUGCUUACUCAGUUGACUUAUGUGUAUCGCAAAGUAAAAGUGAGGUGGCUAAUGUCGAAUUCCUUGUACUUGUCAGUCGAUUAUCUGUAAGUAUGGUGGUAUGUAGAAUUUUGGAUCGACAUGUGUUCUUCUUAAGAAAGGAUUGAACGCUCAUAAUUGUAAGGUUAAUAAACUUAAUUAAAUCUCCCUGUGGUGGGCUUAAGAUAUGGAAUAAAACGAAAUGAACUCAAAGAUAUAAUCGGUUCACUCCUCAAAAUUGGGUCACAUCCAUUGUAUUGCACAUAAUGUUACUUUAAGACUAAAUAGCGCCCGACUUCUACUCGUCCGACCCCUAUAUUGGAUGAGGUCUUAAUCUCUUUAUAUUGGCCUCUCAAUCUUGGAGCUUCUCAAAUUGGCAUUUAAUGCGCCAACAACUUGUACGAACUCAUUGUCACCUUUCCACGGCUAAGCUCUCAUAUAAGUGAAAUGACGUUUUUGAAACUUGGGUAGCAUGCCUCUUUAGGUCUAGGCGAGCCGAGCUUCCCACUUGCCAUAAAGAUAUUAGUUAGCUCACGUGUUUCGUGCGAUUGAUGGCAACUACUUUUUUUGUCUCAGUCUGCUCGAGUGUUCGGGGUGGCCUUCUAUGAACCCCUUGACUCUUGGGCUCCUAGGUUUUUCCAAGCCUGCCCAUUGUAUGGGCCUAAAAGUGCCCAAUGUUAACGCCAUACUUAUACCAGACCAUUCGAUGGUGUGUUCCAAAAGAGGAGCAGGAAAAUGUUUUUAAGUUUGCCCAUUAGCAUGUGGAUGACACUUUGGGCCGAAGAGGACAAGAACUAAGAUUUUUCAAAUUGGGUUGUUUUGGCCUUCACUUUUCAAGAAUGCAAAUAAUUGGUGUCAAGUUCAUGAUCGCUGUCCACGAGUGCGCAAUCAGAUGUCGCAAUAAAGUAUUCUGGUCGUUGAAUUAUUUGAUGUUUGGGGCAAUCAUCGUCCCAUGGGAACCAAUACAUUCUUGUGGCUGUGGAAUACGUUUCUAAGUGAGUUGAGGCAAUUGCAGCACCUACUAGCAAAGGGUCAUUGGUCUUGAAUUUCCUCCAAGGUAUGAUUUUUCUGCGUUUUCCAAGUGCUAUUAUCAGCGAUGAAGGUAAGCACUUCUUGAAUAAGCCUUUUGCUGCACUCCUUACAAAAUAUGGGAUCACUCAUUGUAGCCACUACGUAUCAUCCUUAGACAUAUAGGUAGGUUGAAGACUCCAACAUAGAGAUAAAGUGCAUCCUAGAAAAAACAGUCAGCACCACUUGCAAGGACUGGAGUCUAAAAUUAAACGAUGAUCUCUGGACAUACAGAACAACGUAUAAAACUCUGAUUGGGAUGUCCCCCUUUCAGCUUAUAUACGGGAAAGCAUAAGGCGUAUUGGGCUAUCAAAUAGCUAAAUUUUGCUUAUGAUUCUGCUCGUGAUAAGUGUAAAUUGCAACUCGACAAGUUAGACGAAAUUCGUAAUGAAGCAUAUAAAAGUACAAAGAUCUACAAGGAGAAAACUAAGGGGUUUCAUGACAAUCAAAUUUAGAAAAGAGUUCAACCAAGAUAGAAAGUGUUAUUGUUUAAUUCAAGGUUGAAGUUGUUUCCACAGAAGUUGAAGUCCGACUGGAACACGCAACACUAGGUUACUAAGGUUUAUCCCAUAGGGUUGUCGACAUUAUUAAUGAGUAAAGUGGUAAAACAUUCAAGGUGAAUGAUCACAAGCUGAAACCAUAUUUGGAGUCACCCUACGUACGAUGUCACACACAAGUAAAUGAUUAUGAAGAAACUAGUGAGUUAUAGAAAUUAACUAAAGCGUUUAUUGGGAGGUAGCCGAAUUUUCUAACACUAACUUGAAAAAAAUCCAAAAGAUACGUUUUCGCUUUCAGUAUUUUUUUCUUUCAAUAAUACUAGUUGAAAAUCCUUGUUUGCAAUAAAACUCUUGUUUGCCUAAGUCAGUUUUGAGUUCGUAAAAGCAAUUGUUUUGUUGGAUAAAAGUCUUAUCUUUUCAAAGCAAACUUUUUGCUUGGAGAAAUUUCUGUGAAAAAACUGAGUUGAUAAAAAUAGGUUAUUGAUUGAAAAACUUUGGGCUUUUGCAGGUUGCAAUCAGGACAUACAAGGCGGCCCUAUUUCAUCUAAGACGUACAAGGCAAAUAAAGAAAAAUUGGAUCCUGCAUCCAGCAGCAAUUCAUUCAUUCACAUCAACCACAGCAGUUCUAAGAUUAUCGUAUUGCAGAAAAUUUAAGUAGUUCAAUGCAAUAGAGUUUCCCGCAGAGGACAGUCAAAGCAGACAAGCAGAUAUGGUGUUCCUAGCGUAUCAUUGAAUUGCUAAGUCUCUAAGAUCAUUCCUACUCUUGUUUAUCUAGCAGUUAACUCUUAUGCAUGUUUCUAAGCACAUUCACAGCAAGCAGCAGUUAUAAAGUGAGUUUUCAGAAGGCAUACCAGGGCAAUUCCGAUGAAGCUUCUGGAUUUGGAUAUCCAGAAACAACAAAUUACAAUCAAAGAGAGAAGGAAAGUUAGAAAAUAAUUGUGAUUGAUUAAAACAAAAGGCUCAC